GGUAAAAACCAUUUUCUGGUGUCACUGGUUUACUUUGCUUAAACCCAUGUCUGUAUUGCCUGUUUUCUGGUGGACAUUUUUAUCAUUGCCUAAGGAGACUUAGGGACUUUUUCCCUUAAAAAAGUGACUUGUUCCUUUGUAAGCACUAAAAUGAGAAUGACAUGAAUAACUUCUCUCUGCAGUGUGAUCCCAAGAUCAUGGACAGUUCUGUCAUAGCAAAAAUAGCAGCUACACAAACAACAACAACAUAUCAUAUCAUGUGAAAAUAUUGACAGGAAGAGGCCUAGAAGGCACAGUUCUCUGGAACUUUCCAAAUGCAAGAGGCUAUAUUCACUGGAUAGAUGUCUCAGCAGUCUCAACAGUGAACUGCAGGAAGAGGAAGAGAAUGACUUCCUGCUGGAUGAAAAGUAUUUUCUACCCUCUGAUCAUCCUGAUUUCAUCUGACACACAAGAACUCAGGAGCUCUGUGUUCCCAUCAGAUGAGCCUAAAGUCAGCUGAGCUAUGGAUCGAGCCAAGCUGGAGUUGGAUACUUGCAUUAAGUUGAAGAACCCUCCCAAGCUAGUGAGUGAUGCCCUUGGAGGCUGAGCUGUCAAAACACCUGAGUGUGAGCUUCAUGUUCUCAUUGAAACUAUGAGUGUCCUGACACUGAAAAGAAAACAACUCUUCAGCAAUUGGAGAAUGGCCUUCAAGCUCUUGGUAGAGUGGUUGGCUUCUGUGGCUCUGGGAUGCACUUACCUAUGUUAGCUCUCUCUGUAAGGAUGUAGCUCCUUCUGCUGUGAUUUCUCUUCACCAUUGGUUCUUUCCAACAGCAGAUGGAGACUGUCUGGUCUUACCUCUCUUUUUCAUGGUCUCCCACCCUGACAGGCCCUUCCAUCUCCAUCGCCUGUUUGCAUUCUGAACUCUGCUCUGUUCCUAUAUCUUCUGUCCUGAUAUUACCUGUAACUGUCACAGGAAAGCCCAGCUCAAUGGGGGUCCUAAUCCCAUGAAGAGCAUCUUUUCAGCCACAUGCCACCUUCCCUGUGAUCGCAUGCUGUCUAGGCUUUUUUGCCUUCUCUUCCCAGCUUCCUUGACUCCACUGCCUCUUUCUUCUGGGAACAUGGCCUUCAUAAGUCACUGGCACAUGGCUCCUUCUUGGACCCUCCUUGGCAAACAGGACUAAGUCAAUCCUGGAUCCUUAUCUUGGACAUACAAAGGAAAAUUGUGAAAACUGAUGAGAAAGAUUGCAACAACUAAACUUUAUCUGGGCUGUAGGUGGCAGACCCAAACAGGUCUAGAGUCAUUCUGUCUUCACCCCUUAGCCCACUCCAUGUUCCAAGACUUCGUUUUCUGCUCAUUCCUGACCUACAUUGUAGUAGCUUCCAAGAUUUCUGCAGAUUCUUAUUGCUGUCUAGCCAAGGUGACUGAAGAACCCACAUGGGCUCUAGUUGAAAUGGGUGGAAUAGCACUAUUUAAUGACUCCUGGAUGUCUUUUAAUUGUUUGCAGAAAACUAUGAAAAUAACGAUGAAAAAGAUCAAGAUUCACUGAAUUCCAGGUAACAACAAAUAAUCUGAGGGUAGUAAAAAGGGUAAAAUAAGGGGUUAAGGAUGAUCCAAAAGGAUAGAUCACGAGGUCAAAAGUAGACACAUUUCAUGACCAAAUGUAAAGAAAGACUGCUGUUGGCAGUGAUGAUGUUGACUCAGCCCAGUAUGAUGGAGCCUUUAGCAAGGUUAACUUUUAUCUUCCUGGUGCUGGUACAGUGAGUCUGACUAAGAGGAACUGCGCAGUCAGCUUGGGGCAUUUCUUGCUUUUAAGGAAAUCAGUUGUUAACAUUAUAAGUUGUAAAAUCAGGAUUAGAGACAUACUAUCUUUCUAUACUAAUGGUCUGAGGUCACGGACAGGUAUGCCAUAGCAAGAAAAGCAGAAAUGAGUGUUAUGUCAAAAAAUGGAUAGAAAAAAUUCUAGAAGGCACAAGUUCUCUGGCCCUGUAUCAUGUAGCAGGGUGUAUUCACCUGCCAACUAUGUGUGUCAAUAUCAGUCAUGCACAAGGUUCAUCUACACCUAUGUUUCUUAUUAUGUGCUCCUUCUAUACUUUAUAGGUGGAGUCAAGCCUCCUUCCUCGUGAGCUUGUUAUCUGGCCAGUACACUGGACACUGGUGGCUCUCCCUCUUUCUUUCAUAUCAUGGCACCUACACUAUGUUCAUGUGAUGAAAAUGGUUUCCUGGAUCAUUUUUGAUGGGAAGUGCCUGUUUGGGGACUCCACCCUUCAGCUUUGAGUCAGGACCAGCUGGGAGGCUAUAGUUUCUAAACUGCCUUGAUUUUAUCUGUCAUUCUUCCCUGUCUCAGUAGUCUCAACAGUGAACUACAUGAGGAGAAAGAGAAUGAGCUCCUGCUGGACGAAAAAUAUUUUCUACCCUCUGGUCAUCUUGAUUCAUCUGACAUAAGAACUUUUCAGAAGCUCUGUCGUCCCACCAGAUGAGCCUAAAGUCAACUCUGCUGUGGAUGGAGCCAAGCUGAAUUUAGAUGCUUCCAUUUCAAUGAAAUAUCAUGUCAAGAUAGAGGAUGAUGCCCUUAAAGGAUCAUCUGACAACACAGAUGGUUUUCAAGAGCAUGUCUCAGUGUUGCCACAGAUUUCUGCAAACAGAAGAUAACUGGAAGAAAACUUUGGUUUAUCAAGUGGAAAAUAGCAUGCAGAUCCCCUGGCCUUCAGGCUUCAGAGCUGGAUUCAGAUGAUCAUCCAGGAAUGAAGAACUCUCCCAAGCUGGAAUGUGAUACCACAGAUGGCUCCUUCACCAACAAGCAUGGCCUCCCUAUCAUAGGCUGCAUUGAUGACUAUACUGCUCUCAGAGAAGAUUGAGGAGGGAAAACAGCUGGUGCAAAAGAUCCUGUCUCUCCUGAGGCCCACAUGCAACUUCCUGAGCUUUGAAUCUCAGAGCUCAGAGGUGACAUUCUUAAGGGACCUGCUAUGUGCUCCAGCCUUGAGACCCUUGCCUUCAAGGAGCCACACAAGAAGCAAAGCCACCACAGGACCCUAAAGCAUGAGGAAGCCUAGGCCUACCCCCCUCCCCACAUCUGAACAACUAUCUGCUAGACAGUUCCUUCAAAGCUAGUACAGGUUCGAAGAGGUGAUCAGAGAUGUCUCCUACUUGCGUAGACAGAAAGGCAGAAUGACUUUCUGGCAGUGAUGGAACACCAGUAGUCAAAUAGCACCAGGCCCAGCUCUAGGCAAAGUGCACCUAAGAUUGCAUAGUGAACCUUGUGACACUGCUUCUAAGCAGCCUCAGUGGCACAGCACCUGCCACAGCAGAGUUCUCACCUCAGCAGCUCUCCUCAGAUGAUCAGCUUGGGGGAAAUGGUUGCCUCCUACACAUGGGUCAUGUGGUCCCAAUGUGGAGCUCCUUGGCAGUUCUAGAAACUUCACAGAUUCACACCUGACCAGGUAGCUCCUCUAGGCCAAGCCAGGUUGGACUUUGCCCUACACCAUCAGGUCUGAUCUCUGAGUCCAUGUGAGGAAGGAAUGUGGUGACUUGCUAAGAGGCCCUCUCAUUCAUACCCUAGCACAGUCUGUUUCCUUUAUUAACAUGUUCUCCAAAUUUUACUGCCCCCUGCCCUCCCAUUAAGUAUGCUGUGCCAUUUUGUUAACCUAACUUCCCUCAGGGGAAUAUGAGACUGAUGUCCACACCAAGCCUAUGCACAGUCUUGCAUAUGGAAGCCUCUACUUGUUUCUUAGUGGUGUGGGCCAGGCCCCAGUUGUACUGAAGCCUCCUUUGUGUCUUCAGGGUGUUCCUAGGGUGUGAGUAGGUGUGUAUAAAUGUAAGAGAUUUAUUUAUGUUGCUGUAGCCAUACGUUGAAGGCCAACAUCAGUCAUGGACAGGUUAGGUAAAACUGAGUAAUGGUCUUUCAGUAGCUAUUUUAUUUUUUAAAGCAAAAUUUGUAUAAAUAGAUUCGUUUUGUCAGCUUUGUUUCCCAUUUCUACACCAGGCCCUAGAACAAGUGUUAAGAAUAGAAAAUAAACUAAGCCAAACCCAGAAAA